rnacentral:rRNA from 1 species
GAUGAACGCUGGCGGCGUGCCUAAUACAUGCAAGUCGAGCGAACAGACGAGGAGCUUGCUCCUCUGACGUUAGCGGCGGACGGGUGAGUAACACGUGGAUAACCUACCUAUAAGACUGGGAUAACUUCGGGAAACCGGAGCUAAUACCGGAUAAUAUAUUGAACCUCAUGGUUCAAUAGUGAAAGACGGUUUUGCUGUCUCUUAUAGAUGGAUCCGCUCCGCAUUAGCUAGUUGGUAAGGUAACGGCUUACCAAGGCAACGAUGCGUAGCCGACCUGAGAGGGUGAUCGGACACACGGGAACUGAGACACGGUCCAGACUCCUACGGGAGGCAGCAGUAGGGAAUCUUCCGCAAUGGGCGAAAGCCUGACGGAGCAACGCCGCGUGAGUGAUGAAGGUCUUCGGAUCGUAAAACUCUGUUAUUAGGGAAGAAAAAAUGUGUAAGUAACUAUGCACGUCUUGACGGUACCUAAUCAGAAAGCCACGGCUAACUACGUG